UGGUCGGGAUAGCUCAGCUGGUAGAGCAGAGGACUGAAAAUCU
rnacentral:tRNA from 1 species